AAGUCGUAACAAGGUUUCCGUAGGUGAACCUGCGGAAGGAUCAUUAGUGAUUUGGCUCCGGCCUUAUUCUUGUCCAACCUCUGUGAACUGUGGCCUCCGGGCCGUAUUUUAAACAUCAGUGUAAAGAAUGUAAACAUAUUAAACAAACAAAACUUUUAACAACGGAUCUCUUGGCUCUC
rnacentral:misc_RNA from 1 species